AGACAAGGAAAAGAGAAUAAGUAAGGAGAUCACAGAACCAUGGAAUUUAUCAAAUAUAAAUGAAGAAGAAAGGUGUCACGCAAUUUCAAUUAGAAUAAUACACCAAUUAGCCAAAUAACAUUCAAGCUUAAGUGUAAACAAAUCAGCAUCUACCAUAAACAAGUUAAUACCAAAGCUGCCCUAAGUUAAUAAAGGAAACAAAUAUGAACAAUAGAAAAAUUUCUCACAAUCAAAUCAUUUAUCAUCAUGCAGAUUGUCAUGUUAUCAAGCAACCUAGAUAAAGCACGUAGAAAUUCUAAUAAAAAAAAUAAAAGACUGGAUGAAUUAGAAUUAUCCAACGAAUAUCAAGGUAGCCAAAUUUUCAAGAAACAAGAACUCUAAUUCCGACCUAAUAGCAAAAUCUCAUCCGUAUAAACGUCAAAAUAAUCAACCAACAAGCAAAAAGGGACAUAUUUUAGACGUUGCCCAAAUCAGUGUCCAACUCAAAAUGGAUGUUAAUAAAAAAUUGGAAAUUUUCACACAUGUUGAAGGAGGAGAAAUGGUCAGUAAGUUGCAGCAGAAAUUAAUACCCAAAACUGAUGAAUUUCAAAUCUGGAGACCCGACAAAAGUGAAAUUGCUAACAAGAAAAUAGUAAUUAAAUUAUGAAAGGACAAAACCAGGAAAGGAUUGUCCAUGAUCCGUUGUAAAAUUGGAAUCUCAAAGCUUAAACAAAGAGCCCAAUCGAGAUGACCGAUCUCGAGGACAUGGACAGUGCUCUUUACAUCGCUGGUUACUGGAUUGUGUGAGAUUUCAUCAGUGUUGGUCGGGUUUCGUUAUCGCUGAAAUGUUUAUGGGUCUAUUUGGUAGUGGCAAUGAUGGUUUCUAGGAAGAGAGAAGAAGAGAAGAGGGAGAGAAAAGGGAAGGGAAAAGAGAAAGAGAGAGACGGCUAUAGUGUUGUGGAGGUGUUGUAAAAUUGGAAUCUCAAAGCUUAAACAAAGAGCCCAAUCGAGAUGACCGAUCUCGAGGACAUGGACAGUGCUCUUUACAUCGCUGGUUACUGGAUUGUGUGAGAUUUCAUCAGUGUUGGUCGGGUUUCGUUAUCGCUGAAAUGUUUAUGGGUCUAUUUGGUAGUGGCAAUGAUGGUUUCUAGGAAGAGAGAAGAAGAGAAGAGGGAGAGAAAAGGGAAGGGAAAAGAGAAAGAGAGAGACGGCUAUAGUGUUGUGGAGGUGGCGGACUGGAGCAUCACUGCAAAGAUAGAAGGGCGACGCUAGCUCAUGGUGAAGAAUCGUAGGUUGGCGAUGACCGAUGGUGAUCGAUGGCUGUGGGAACAGAGAAAAUUGAGAAGAAAAUAGGUAGAGAGAGCGGUGGCGGCGGUUCUCCGACUAGAAGGUGGUCAGAGAUGGUAGGCGGUGGCUGUUGUGAGGGAGAUGAAGAGAGAGAAAGUAUAGGGUAUGAGGCUGCUAUUUUGGCAUGGAAGAAAUGAUUUUCCUGUAAGA
rnacentral:lncRNA from 1 species